rnacentral:rRNA from 1 species
CUGCUGCCUCCCGUAGGAGUCUGGUCCGUGUCUCAGUACCAGUGUGGGGGACCUUCCUCUCAGAACCCCUAGACAUCGUCGCCUUGGUGGGCCGUUGCCCCGCCAACUAGCUAAUGUCACGCAUGCCCAUCCGUUGCCGGAAUCGCUCCCUUUGGCCGCAGGGCCAUGCAGCCCCGCGGCGUUACGCGGUAUUAGACGGGAUUUCUCCCGAUUAUCCCCCCAUGCAACGGGCAGGUCGCAUACGCGUUACUCACCCGUGCG